UAUCUUUAUAUCCUUUUAUGUUUUCAUGGUGCUGGAACACCUUUGAUUAAUUUGUUUGGCCCUGUUUGACCUCAUUUUUAGGGUAAACUAUAUUUUAGAAUGGUAAUUUUUUGAAAAAUACAUGGUUAAAAAUUAAGGAAAAGUUAUGGGUGUAAAAUAUAUUUCUGAUUUGUGGUUAGUUCUAUAAUAGGUGAUUGUAAUGUCACUUGCAUUUCUAUUUUUAUCUAUGUUGCGUGGUAGUUUAUUUUGCCAAACUGAAAGGUGGAAUGAUUAAGUACUGUCAAAGGAAAAAAUUUUGGUUUGUGAGCAAGUAGAACCCGAAGAUAGAAAUAAUGGUGUCUGCUAUCCGAAUCGCUAAUUCAAUAUAGAAAACCUCGUAAUUGAUUGUGAACUAUAGACAGGACUUAUGGUUUUCCAUCCUUAUGAAAGUGUAUUGAAUUGAAUUUUGUUGGUGAGGUGAUCUACCUUUCAAGUAUUUCUACAGACGGUGAAAUUCAAAUAAGUUCAUGACUGAUUGAGCCAAACUUUGGUCAAGCAUGAGUUGUUGAUAAAAAGUUUUUUAGGUUUAUACAUAUUUAUAAAGUUGGGUUAGAUCUCUCCCAAUCUAUCCUUUUUAGUUUCUAAAUGGAGCUCUUUAUUGGAUAAGUUAGUUAGCCCAUGUUUGAUGGCCACUAUUUGGUCAAAACAAUAUUUUGAAUAGUAAUUUUUAAGAAAAUGUGUUGUUAAAACUAAAAAAAAAAAAUUGUAUUUAUGUGCAGAAUUUUUUAAUGUGUGAAUAUGUAGUUGAAAGUGAGUAUGUAGAAAAAAGAAUUUUAAAAUAAUAGUUGUCAAGCAGUGACUUAACUUGACGGAUUCACAUUUAUUGAGAAUUGAAUUUCAAUAUAUUUUACCGUUUAGUUGUGUUUCGCGCGUGUUAGUCGCUAACAAUUAAAAAGGAUCAGACGAUCUUGUAAGGGACAAACCUCUUGAGACAAAGUCCCAAAAAAGGGUGUUCUUUUAUUGGCGAUGACUUUACAAUUGGAAAUUAAAAACAACGUGCCUCCAAGGGGCGCAAGCACACGAGUUACUGAAAGAAAAAUGUUUAAGUCUAAGCUAAGGAAAUGAAAAUUACAUAUUCUCUGUUCAAGAGUUUUUGAUUCGGUCCUUUACUUCUAUGUCCUUUCUCCCUUUUAUACUUCAUGGACGAUCUCUUUGUGAUCAACCGCCCUAAAAACUGCUUGAUCGUCCUAUAACCGCCGACUUUCUUCGUAAUGGUCAACUUGUCAUGAAAACUGCCUUUUUUAACUGCUGCCAUUACUCUUCAUCGUUCAACCGCUUUCGAUUGAAUUCCUUGAAUCGUGGAACGUGAUAGGUCUGCUUUAAUAACUGCUUUGAUAACUGCACUUCUUGAUAACUACGACGCUUUAUGUUUGUUAAGACCUUGGGCGACUUGAAGGUUUGGGCGAGAAUAGAGUAACAGCUCUGGGCGACUGUAUGACACUCCAUUCGUUCAGAUUCUGGGCGACUUACAAACUUGGGCGAUGGCGUUACAGUGUUCUUGGGCCUCCUUAUUUAGGCCUUCAUCUUGAUUUGUUCGAUUGGGCUUCGUUCUUUGGGCUAUCUGAUUUGGAGAUCUUCCAAUUGGGCUUCACUCCUUGAGCUGUUCGAUUUGGGCUGAAUUUUUAUGUGUCAACAAUUACCCCCCAAUAUGGCAGAAUUAAUAAUAAUUAUUAGAUUUUGCCAUAUUCUCUUUGUGUUUCCAGCAAUAUUCGAAAUUUUCAAGAAUUUCAAUUAUUGUUUUCUUCUAUAACUUGAAAAGGUGCGUCGUUUUGCAAACCCUUAUAAACCCCAAACAAGCCAUUUCACUGCACCAUUAAACCACGCCUCAAAUUUUUUGCGUCUCUCUCACGAUUUACUGUUCAUCUCUUGCUUCCCUACUACGUAACCUUGAAAAACUUCGUUCCUUCUCAAAUGGCUGCUUCACAAUCUCAAGUUGGCGACUCCUUUAGUUUUGAUGACUUUCAGAAACUUCUGAGUCGCCCAUACAUAACUCCAAGUUUUCUCGCGCCCGCCGAUGUCGAACGUAAUGAGUUCUACCUGGGUCCUUUCUUCAACAAUGCAGAGGCAGUUGAACAGGCGGCGGUGGGUCAGCUGUUUCCUUGCACUCAUGGCCCUCCUUUUCUAAACUCUCUGCCGCUAGGCUACUUCGCGAAAGAGGUAUUUGCACUUGGCCUAAAUCUGAUGUAGCUUUUCGUAGGUGACCUGCUCACCUUGUGGGUCAUGGUCCUACUAAGGCACUUUUUGAGAGCGCUAGGAUUUUUGAUUUGUUAGAAAUCUCUAUUCGCCCCCUACUUUUGAUUCAGCACUCUUUUCGAUUGCUUUGAGUUUUUGGUCUCCCGAGUAUAACACCUUUAUUUUCCCUCUUGGCCCCAUGUCUAUUACCUUAAGGGAUGUUGGGGCCCUGGUGAAUCUACCACCUUUGGGCGAUACCAUUUUUCCUGGUAUCUUGGUUUCUGGUGGCACCCCAAAGUUUGGUAAAAACUACACCGAUUCUUAUUCAAGCCUGCAGACCCUUCACAAUCAUUCGAGCGCUGAGCCUUCCCAUACUGAGCGAGUGGCCUUCCUUUUAGUUUGGCUUUGUAAAUAUGUUUUGUGCGUGCCAAGUAUAAAGCCCUCCUUGAGUUAUUUACCUAUAGCGCACGAAUUGGCGCGUGGCAGGCCUUUGAAUUUAUGUUCUUUGUUUUUGGCUGCCCUUUAUAGAGGCAUGGCCUCUCUUCAAGCUCAAUUGAAGAAUGGUGCAUCUCCCACUGGCAGUGGACCUCUUUGGUUCACUCAACUGUGGGUGAGAUCCUAUUUUCCAUUGCUUGGUGCUCCAUCCAUCUCUCGCUCCUCUGCUAGCUGUUAUGGGCUAGCGAUGGAGCCCUUAGCUCCUGUAAAUAUGUCCAGAAGGGACAUUUUCUCAUUUUUUUAUUCUUUGGAUUCAAUUCCUUCCUUUUUUCCUUUUCCUCAUUUUUUGACUCCACACUAUGUACAUCCCCCUUCCACUAUAGAUAGUGCGAGCACCUCCCUGCUCAUUUGGAUCCAGUUUUUAAACGGGAGGGAGCUAUUUUAUGAUAUUCUAACUGGGACCAAUGCUAAAGCGGGGGUAGAGAUUUAUGCUCCCCAAUUUUUUGCUCGUCAGCUUGGUUUUGGCCAAACUUGACAUGUUCCUCCUUGCUAUUCAAGGAACUUAGUUGACCGUUUUUAUACCAUUACUAAGGCGGAGGCAGAGGCAGAGGCUAUAGAUGCUCGUAAUCUUCUUUUAACCAGCCACUUUUCAUUAGCCCCUUUCAAUUCUAGCCACGCCAUUCACCCUCUUUUUGAACAGCUCUGGCCGUCAGUGAAGCGCAGAUUAUUUGCGACUGACGCCAAUCGUGCCUUUCAUUCAUUAGACCAACCGAGCAUUUCUUCCCCUCCUCCUAUUUUAGUCACUCCCUUGUCCAUUCGGAGUCCUUCUCCUUCUCGUCGCACUAAACAAUCUGCUCGUCCAUCUUCUUCUCUCCCUGCCAAGCCUACCACGGCCAAGAGUACCCCAAGCCGCAAACGGUCAGCCUCAGCAUCUCCCAUUCUGGAGGAUGAUGAUGAUGAUGAUGAUGAUGCCCCUCUUAUCGUCAAAAGGAAGGUAAUUAAAUUGGUUUACUCACAAGUAUACUUUUUCACACUUGAAACUUUUCUGUGUGCUGAUGAUCUUUUGGACUUCUCAGAAAAGCUCAGCCUCUCCUUCAAAGGCUUUGGCAUCAACAGCCCCUGCUUCAUCAUCCUCUGCUGAGGCUACUUCAUCCAAACCGGUUGAUGAGGGGGCUACGCUUAAAGAGACAUUUUCAGUCCCAGAGUCCUCAUCACAACCCAUGGAUGAGCCACCUUCUUACCAGGGCGUCAACCCCCCAAACAUUGAAACAGAAGGUAAUUC
rnacentral:lncRNA from 1 species